CUCGAGGCCAGAUCUAGAGUUUGAUCCUGGCUGAGAAUGAACGUUGGCGGCGUGGAUUAGGCAUGCAAGUCGAGCGAGAAACCAAUUAGCUUGCUAAGAGGUGGACAGCGGCGAAAGGGAGAGUAACGCGUGGUUACGUGCCCUCGGGACCGGGAUAGUGUCGGGAAACUGGCAGUAAUACCGGAUAACAUCUUUGGAUCAAAUGGUGAGAUUCCGCCCGAGGAUCGGACCGCGUACUAUUAGCUUGUUGGCGGGGUAACGGCCCACCAAGGCUGCGAUGGUUACCGGGUGUGAGAGCGUGGCCCGGCUCACUGGGACUGAGACACUGCCCAGACAUCUACGGAUGGCUGCAGUCGAGAAUCUUCGGCAAUGGACGAAAGUCUGACCGAGCGACGCCGCGUGCGGGAUGAAGGCCCUCGGGUUGUAAACCGCUGUCAGUUAGGAGGAAAUCCAUGGGGGUUCUCCCUCAUGGUUGACCGACUUUCAGAGGAAGGACGGGCUAAGUUCGUGCCAGCAGCCGCGGUAACACGAACCGUCCAAACGUUAUUCGGUAUCACUGGGCUUAAA
rnacentral:rRNA from 1 species